CUGUGGCUCAGUGGUAGAGCACCCGCUUGGCAUGCAGAGGACGCGGGUUCAAUCCCCGUUAGAAGGA
rnacentral:tRNA from 1 species